ACAUGUCUCUUUGUUUUGUUUAGAUAAAGAGUUGGGCCUGCUCGGUGNAUUUUUUUAACAGCUGCGGUAUUUUAACUGUACUAAGGUAGCAUAAUAAUUUGCCUUAUAAUUUGAGGCUGGAAUGAAUGGUUUGACGAAGGUUAAUCUGUCUCUACUUUAUUUUUUAGAAUUUAAUUUUUAUAGUGAAAAAGCUUGUAUUUUUUUAAGGGACGAGAAGACCCUAUUGAGCUUAUAAUUUUAUUAUUGUUAUGGUAUGUAUUAUUAUAAUAUUAUAUAAAUUUUAAUUGGGGUGAUUAAGGAAUAAAGGUAUGUUCAUAUUAACUUCCUUARCUAUAAUUAUAUUGUUGAAUAAAGUAACCAAUAAAUUAUUGCUUUUAUAGUAGCUACCAUAGGGAUAACAGCGUAAUUUAUUUAGAGAGUUCUUAUUGAAAAAUGAGAUUGCGACCUCGAUGUUGGAUUAAAGUUACCUUAA
rnacentral:rRNA from 1 species